rnacentral:misc_RNA from 1 species
GAUGAAGAACGUAGUGAAAUGCGAUAAGUAAUGCGAAUUGCAGAAUUCCAGUGAAUCAUCGAAUCUUUGAACGCACAUUGCGCCCUUUGGUAUUCCAAAGGGCAUGCCUGUUCGAGCGUCAUUUGUACCCUCAAGCUUUGCUUGGUGUUGGGCGUCUUGUCUCUAGCUUUGCUGGAGACUCGCCUUAAAGUAAUUGGCAGCCGGCCUACUGGUUUCGGAGCGCAGCACAAGUCGCACUCUCUAUCAGCAAAGGUCUAGCAUCCACUAAGCCUUUUUUUCAACUUUUGACCUCGGAUCAGGUAGGGAUACCCGCUGAACUUAAGCAUAUCAAUAAGCGGAGGA